rnacentral:rRNA from 1 species
GGAUUAAUUUAUUGGUCGUGCUAUUGUACGUACUGGUAUUAUUGAUUCCUACCUUCUGACGAACCACGAUGUCAUUAAUUUGGUGUCAUGGGGAAUCAGGACUGUUACAUUGAAAAAUUAGAGUGUUUAAAGCAGGCUCACGCUUGAAUACAUUAGCAUGGAAUAACGAAAUAGGACGUUUGAUUCUAUUUUGCUGGUUUCUAGGAUUGACAUAAUGAUUAA